rnacentral:lncRNA from 1 species
AACAUGGAGACGUACUGAAGGCCAGGCUUCAUGUGUCUGUCUCCAUAGUAACCAAUAUGAACCGAUGAGUUCAAAAUGUAUUUUUUACAUGUGAUUCUGUGAAAUAAUAGAAGACAGAAAAGAGGUUUGAAUGUUUGUUUUGUGUUUGCAGGUUUGCUGAGGUCCAUUAUUGUCUCUGUGGGUUUAGCAGCACUCAUCAUAACUGCUGUGACAGUCUGUCUGUGGACCAGAGCUAAAGGGACUCAAAGGCAGAAGGAUGAAGGCAGAGUGUACAGUGAUGAAGAUGAAGGUGCAGUGGACUAUGAAAACAUCACAGAGUCUUCUGUUUGACUCCACUGAUGAUGUUUUAUUUUGAAAGGGUUCUUCCUGCUGUGCCAC